rnacentral:rRNA from 1 species
UACGAAGGGAUCUAGCGUUGUUCGGAUUUACUGGGCGUAAAGGGCGCGUAGGCGGUUAUGUAAGUCAGAUGUGAAAGCCCUGGGCUUAACCCGGGAACUGCAUUUUAAACUGCAUAGCUUGAGUGUUGGAGAGGUAAGUAGAAUUCCCAGUGUAGAGGUGAAAUUCGUAGAUAUUGGGAAGAAUACCAGUGGCGAAGGCGACUUACUGGACAACAACUGACGCUGAGGCGCGAAAGCGUGGGGAGCAAACAGG